UCUGUAGUUCAGUCGGUAGAACGGCGGACUGUUAAUCCGUAUGUCACUUCCAGUCAGAGGAGCCA
rnacentral:tRNA from 1 species